UCUCGUCGCUAUAUACCACAUUAUAUUUCUCUCUGUGCGUUCAUUCAGUUCUGUGUUACGUUACUUUAUAACGAUAUGCGUAUAUCGGGCGAUAUCUACGCGUAGCGCGAUAAACGAACAAGCGCGCGACCGGAAGACACACGUC